AGCUCCAAUAGCGUAUAUUAAAGUUGUUGUGGUUAAAAAGCUCGUAGUUGGAUUUCGGCGGGUAGUGGUUGGUUUGAAUUGAUUCAACACUGACUUUUUUACCCGUGUGUUUUGCCAGAAUCUUACGGGUGAUCUUUACCGAUUGUCCGUUGGAACUGGCAGGUUUACUUUGAAAAAAUUAGAGUGCUCAAAGCAAGCUUACUGCUUGAAUAGUUGCGCAUGGAAUAAUAGAAUAGGAAGUCGUUUCUAUUUUGUUGGUUUUCGGAAAUCGACUUAAUGAUUAAUAGGGAUAGUCGGGGGCAUUCGUAUUCAAACGACAGAGGUGAAAUUCUUGGACCGUUUGAAGACGAACUAAGGCGAAAGCAUUUGCCAAGAAUGUUUUCAUUA
rnacentral:rRNA from 1 species